rnacentral:misc_RNA from 1 species
UCAAACUUGGUCAUUUAGAGGAAGUAAAAGUCGUAACAAGGUUUCCGUAGGUGAACCUGCGGAAGGAUCAUUGUUGAAUAAACCUGGUUGAGCUGUUGCUGGCUCCUUGGAGCAUGUGCACGCUCGGCCACACUUAUCCAUCCACCUGUGCACUCUCUGUGGUCUUAGGAGAUGAAAGCGGACGCGCUCUUCGAUAAGGCUUUUCCAGCCUCUCGGAUGUGGGAAUUGCCUUGUGAAGACAUGGCUCUUCUCAGGGGUUUGUGAUCAUCUCUUUUGACUAUGUUUUCAUACACUUGUAUAGCAUAAUGCGGAAUGUAUCUAAGGCCUCUGUGCCUAUAAAUAUCAAUACAACUUUCAGCAACGGAUCUCUUGGCUCUCGCAUCGAUGAAGAACGCAGC